AGAGUUUGAUCCUGGCUCAGGAUGAACGCUAGCUACAGGCUUAACACAUGCAAGUCGAGGGGAAACGACAUCGAAAGCUUGCUUUUGAUGGGCGUCGGCCGGCGCACGGGUGAGUAACGCGUAUCCAACCUGCCCAUCACUUGGGGAUAACCUUGCGAAAGUAAGACUAAUACCCAAUGAUAUCUCUAGAAGACAUCUGAAAGAGAUUAAAGAUUUAUCGGUGAUGGAUGGGGAUGCGUCUGAUUAGCGUUGGUUGGCGGGUAACGGCCACCAAGGCUACGAUCAGGUAGGGGUUCUGAGACGGAAGGUCCCCACAUUGGAACUGAGACACGGUCCAAACUCCACGGGAGCA
rnacentral:rRNA from 1 species